GCUUGCAUAGCUCAGGUGGUAGAGCACUUUCUUGGUAAGGAAGAGGUCGGCAGUUCAAGUCUGCCUGUAAGCA
rnacentral:tRNA from 2 species